GCCGGGCGUGGUGGCGCACGCCUGUAAUCCCAGCACUUCGGGAGGCCAAGGCGGGUGGAUCACUUGAGGUCAGGAGUUCGAGACCAGCCUGGCCAACAUGGUGAAACCCCGUCUCUA
rnacentral:SRP_RNA from 2 species